rnacentral:rRNA from 1 species
UACGUAGGGUGCGAGCGUUAUUCGGAAUUACUGGGCGUAAAGCGUGCGCAGGCGGUUUUGUAAGCCAGAUGUGAAAGCCCCGGGCUUAACCUGGGAAUGGCAUUUGGGACUGCAGAGCUUGAGUACUUAAGAGGAUCGCGGAAUUCCCGGUGUAGAGGUGAAAUUCGUAGAUAUCUGGAGGAACACCGGUGGCGAAGGCGGCAUCCUGGACCAAUACUGACGCUGAGGAGCGAAAGCUAGGGGAGCAAACGGG